rnacentral:pre_miRNA from 1 species
UUUAUACUCACUCCGUCUGAAAAUACUUGCCGGAGAAAUGCAUGUAUCUAGACGUAUUUUAGUUCUAUAUACAUUCAUUUUUAUUCAUUUUUCCGACAAGUAUUUUUAGACGGAGGGAGUAUGAG